rnacentral:antisense_RNA from 1 species
CUUGAUCGAACCGAGGAGCAGUGGCUGCCCCUCCGCCCGCUCCUGGCCGUACGUCGCCAGCAGCGCCUGCGCCUC